CAUCGCAAUGCCUUUGAUCUGACGAGCUUGAAUAAAGUUGAGGUAGGCGGAAUGGGCCAAUAGCGGUAAAUGCAAGAUAUGUCACAGAACCCGAUUGCGAAGGCAGCUACUUAGCUAUUAUUGACGCUGAGCUCGAAAGCGUGGGGAUCAAACAGGAUAGAUACCCUGGUAGUCCACGCCCCUAAACGAUGAUAACUCGAUGUUGGCGAUAUACAGUCAGCGUCCAAGCGAAAGCGUUAAGUUAUCCACCUGGGGAGUACGCCCGCAAGGGUGAAACUCAAAAGGAAUUGACGGGGGCCCGCACAAGCGGGAGGAGCAUGUGGUUUAAUUCGAUGAUACGCGAGGAACCUUACCCGGGCUUGAAAGUUAGUGAAUCAUUUAGAGAUAGAUGAGUCCGCAAGGACACGAAACUAGGUGCUGCAUGGCUGUCGUCAGCUCGUGCCGUGAGGUGUUGGGUUAAGUCCCGCAACGAGCGCAACCCCUAUGUUUAGUUGCCAGCACAUUAUGGUGGGGACUCUAAACAGACUGCCUGUGCAAACAGAGAGGAAGGAGGGGACGACGUCAAGUCAUCAUGGCCCUUACGUCCGGGGCUACACACGUGCUACAAUGGAUGGUACAGAGGGCAGCAACAUGGCAACAUGAAGCAAAUCUCAAAAAGCCAUUCACAGUUCGGAUCGGGGUCUGCAACUCGACCCCGUGAAGUUGGAUUCGCUAGUAAUCGCGUAUCAGCAAUGACGCGGUGAAUACGUUCCCGGGCCUUGUACACACCGCCCGUCA
rnacentral:rRNA from 1 species